GAUGAACGCUGGCGGCGUGCCUAAUACAUGCAAGUCGAGCGAACAGACGAGGAGCUUGCUCCUCUGACGUUAGCGGCGGACGGGUGAGUAACACGUGGAUAACCUACCUAUAAGACUGGGAUAACUUCGGGAAACCGGAGCUAAUACCGGAUAAUAUAUUGAACCGCAUGGUUCAAUAGUGAAAGACGGUUUUGCUGUCACUUAUAGAUGGAUCCGCGCCGCAUUAGCUAGUUGGUAAGGUAACGGCUUACCAAGGCAACGAUGCGUAGCCGACCUGAGAGGGUGAUCGGCCACACUGGAACGGAGCCACGGUCCAGGCUCCUACGGGAGGCAGCAGUAGGGAAUCUUCCGCAAUGGGCGAAAGCCUGACGGAGCAACGCCGCGUGAGUGAUGAAGGUCUUCGGAUCGUAAAACUCUGUUAUUAGGGAAGAACAAAUGUGUAAGUAACUAUGCACGUCUUGACGGUACCUAAUCAGAAAGCCACGGCUAACUACGUG
rnacentral:rRNA from 1 species